UACGUAGGGUGCGAGCGUUGUCCGGAUUUAUUGGGCGUAAAGGGCUCGUAGGCGGUCUGUCACGUCGGGAGUGAAAACACGGGGCUUAACCCCGUGCCUGCUUCCGAUACGGGCAGACUAGAGGUAUGCAGGGGAGAACGGAAUUCCUGGUGUAGCGGUGAAAUGCGCAGAUAUCAGGAGGAACACCGGUGGCGAAGGCGGUUCUCUGGGCAUUACCUGACGCUGAGGAGCGAAAGUGUGGGGAGCGAACAGG
rnacentral:rRNA from 1 species